GGGCGCUUGGUUUAGUGGUAUAACGUUCGCUUAGCAGUUAGUUGCGAAAGGUGCUGGGUUCGAUUCCCAGAGUGUCCA
rnacentral:tRNA from 1 species